GUGUCCGAUGCUUGCGGCUGAUGGCUUCUACCUACGUGCAUCAAACAGUGGGCCUGCACCUUCGCCGAGACAGCAGUAAAACAGUUCUGGGUAACUGCUGCGACUGGGUCACCGAUGCCGUUCCACUUCCUGCACUGCACUCCACGUGGGUCAAAGGGGCAGUGCAUGCCUUCUAUGGGUUGUUGCAAGCCAUAAUGUGCAGGUCGGACAUGAGGCAAUAAAAGCUUGGCCCACCAACCACAUGGCUCCUACCGCCCUGUCAACGUAGGGAUGAACGGAGCGCAGGGGCGGCAGAGUUGGUGGGGUCUGCUGAGUGCUUCUGGCGUAGCAGCUCGGUAGUGCCGUGCUGUUUGAAGUCAUCACAGAUAUAAACUACACGUUGCAGCAACUCACAAUCGCAUUCCUGCCCGUCAUGUCGAACAGCGGAGCGCUAAUUUCAGUUUGAGGUCUGCACUCUUACUACAAUGCAGAUGGUGACAGCAUCAGGCUGCACUCGGUUACCGUCGUGAAUCAUGGACCAAGACUGCACUCUUAGGCCCACUCCCUUUUGGUGGAUCAGGUCUUGCCACCUUCCCCUUUCGUGGUUUCCUGUCGUAUUUAAAUAAAUUCUCAUAUUUUUUUCU